GGGGUUGACCGGAUUUGACAGCGGGCAGAGAUGGUACGUAAGCACGCGGAGCGUGGCUGGCUGGCUCCUUAAUCCCAGAUGGCAAAAAAUUAAUUGGCGAAACAAAUUACGCUCUCGCUGCCUAAUCGAAGAACAGUAGAUUACUGGCUUAAUCCAGUCACAAGGUGACAGGACGAGACGUCGCUCCACAGGGUGUGUCUUCGAACCCGAGGAUCAAGCGGCGCAGACAAAUUCGGAGACGAACCGGCUGAUGCCUCUGCUGCCGGGGAGAUUUUUUGAGGAUAAGGGUACUGUUGGUGGCUCAGGUCUUGC
rnacentral:tmRNA from 1 species